rnacentral:pre_miRNA from 1 species
AUGAUACUCCCUCCAUCCCAAAAUUCUUGUCUUAGCUUUGUCUAGAAAUGGAUGUAUCUAAGUGCUAAAUUUGACUGGAUACAUUUGUAUCUAAACAAAAUAUGAGACAAGAAUUUUGGGACGGAGGAAGUACUUU